GAUGAACGCUGGCGGCGUGCUUAACACAUGCAAGUCGAACGGGAAACCUUUUAAUGAAGCUUCGGCAGAUUUAGCUGGUUUCUAGUGGCGGACGGGUGAGUAACGCGUGGGUAACCUGCCUUAUACAGGGGGAUAACAGUCAGAAAUGACUGCUAAUACCGCAUAAGCGCACAGGACCGCAUGGUCCGGUGUGAAAAACUCCGGUGGUAUAAGAUGGACCCGCGUUGGAUUAGCUUGUUGGUGGGGUAACGGCUCACCAAGGCGACGAUCCAUAGCCGGCCUGAGAGGGUGAACGGCCACAUUGGGACUGAGACACGGCCCAGACUCCUACGGGAGGCAGCAGUGGGGAAUAUUGCACAAUGGGGGAAAACCUGAUGCAGCGACGCCGCGUGAAGGAAGAAGUAUCUCGGUAUGUAAACUUCUAUCAGCAGGGAAGAUAGUGACGGUACCUGACGAAGAAGCCCCGGCUAACUACGUG
rnacentral:rRNA from 1 species